GCUCCUAUUGGCCGGACACUCAGCCCACGGCAGAUAGGGCGGGACAGGAAGUGGAGCACAGAAACAAAAAUAAAACAUCCGGUUGAUUUUUCAAAAUAAAAUACCCAGUGCUCACGGCGGAUGAUCUCUCCCUGCACUCCACCUUGAGAACAGCUCAAAGCUGUUCCC